UUUAAACUGCAUUCUGGAAGGUCAGACUCACGGGCACCACUGAAGUCCACUAUAUGGAGAAACAUCCUGAAAUGUUUUCCUCAAAAAACAUCAUUUCUUUAUGACUGAAGAAAGAAAGACAUGAACAUCUUGGAUGACGAGAGGGAGAAGCUUGUGCUGCUCUAACACACAACAUCGAAGCUGGAUGAUCACAGGAGUUAACGUGUCUCUGUGGUGCAGAGCAGAAACGUCAGCGGUGUAACGGGAAAGUGAGCUACAGUCUUCUUCCUCCGUCUGAUCACGAUGCAGUUGUUUCACAGCUGGAGGGGGAAAAACGUACAAAUCUACAAAGUCGGAGGUGGGUGUGUCUGAUCUGGACGAACACGAGCCAGGAAACGGCUCAAACAUCUGAUGCUCCUGAAUGAUGGGAUUUCAUUUUUAUGAAGAAAUCGGAUUUGAAUAAACAAACAGAAUAAGAAAUGUUACUCAGGGCUUUAUUUACAGUCUUUUCAGCUAGAGUGAUGGAAGUUAUGUUAGUAAAAUAAAUAAAUUAAAAAUAUUUAACAACAGUUUUAAUAUUUAUUUACCUACAAAAUAAUCUUUCUAUUGAAAUUCUUAUUUUUAAUUUAAAAUAAUUCACUGCUCUAAUUAUGUGACUGAAGGAGAUUUGUGUUUGUGAAUGUGGUCAGGGUUACAGCAGCCCCGGUUCUGGAAUGGCUCCUGAGUGUGAAACACGGGUCAGAACCCAGGCCUGCUGCUGCCGCUGCUGUCCUUCACAGAGAUAAUGAUCAAUAUCUGAUUACAUUUCAUUUUAAACAUUUACAUCAGAUUAUUUUAGACUUUAUGGGCAGCAGCAGAAGAGGCAAGAAGUGAGGAUGAGGCUGAUUUCUUCCUCUCCAAGACUGUAGAUUCAUCCAGGUGAUCAGUGAGAGGCGUGUCAGGUGAUCAGUGAGAGGCGUGUCAGAUGGUCAGUGAGAGGCGUGUCAGAUGGUCAGUGAGAGGCGUGUCAGGUGAUCAGU